rfam:Myotis lucifugus cont2.18839, whole genome shotgun sequence.
GCCAGUGUGGGUCAGUGGUUAGAGCAUUGGCCUGCACACCCAAGGGUCUCAGGUUCCAUUCCUGGUCAAGGGCA